ACAGCAGCAGCCGCGGUAAUACGUAGGUGGCAAGCGUUGUCCGGAAUUAUUGGGCGUAAAGGGCUCGCAGGCGGUUUCUUAAGUCUGAUGUGAAAGCCCCCGGCUCAACCGGGGAGGGUCAUUGGAAACUGGGAAACUUGAGUGCAGAAGAGGAGAGUGGAAUUCCACGUGUAGCGGUGAAAUGCGUAGAGAUGUGGAGGAACACCAGUGGCGAAGGCGACUCUCUGGUCUGUAACUGACGCUGAGGAGCGAAAGCGUGGGGAGCGAACAGGAUUAGAUACCCCAGUAGUCCCUGUCUCUUAUAA
rnacentral:rRNA from 1 species